rnacentral:rRNA from 1 species
GUAGGUGGCAAGCGUUGUCCGGAAUUAUUGGGCGUAAAGCGCGCGCAGGCGGUUCUUUAAGUCUGAUGUGAAAGCCCACGGCUCAACCGUGGAGGGUCAUUGGAAACUGGAGAACUUGAGUACAGAAGAGGAAAGCGGAAUUCCACGUGUAGCGGUGAAAUGCGUAGAGAUGUGGAGGAACACCAGUGGCGAAGGCGGCUUUCUGGUCUGUAACUGACGCUGAGGCGCGAAAGCGUGGGGAGCAAACAGGGAUUAGAUACCCUGGUAGUCCACGCCGUAAACGAUGAGUGCUAAGUGUUAGGGGGUUUCCGCCCCCUUAGUGCUGCAGCUAACGCAUUAAGCACUCCGCCUGGGUAGUACGGCCGCAAGGCUG